CAAUAGAUUCUCCCCAGUCAGAGUAGGUUAUGAAGGAGGCCUUCCGCUCGCACCCGCCUCUCCAGCACCCCCUUUAGGCCCGGGCAUCCCUGCGGGUGCCCAGACCGAACGCCAGCCGCGGGCCCGCGCCGGUUACCUGGCCGCGCGCUCCCGCUCCGCCUCACGCUUCCACGGGAUCGUUUUUGCCGCGGGCUCGCGCCAGCGCUGUGAGCGCACAAUUAGUUUAAACCAUGGCCCCGCCCCCUCGCGCCACCCUCUGAUUGGCCCCAGUCGGCUGGAGUUUCACGCAAGGGCACGCUUGAGGACCCGGGAAAAGGAAGUGUGAGGACCACUGGGAAGAGAGAAGGGGGUGUCACUAUUUCCGGACCCCGGCCUGGACUUGAGAGCAAAGAAAACUACAAGCCCCAGCACGUCCCGCGGCUUUGGAGCCCCGCCCCUGGCGAACUACAGCUCCCGGUAGGUAUCGCGGCAGCGCUUACGGCGGGUCGCCGGGUCGAGGUAGUUACUAUGGAGUUGACGCUGAGUAAGCCUGAGGUAGUGGGACGCCGAGGCUGGAGGGAAAACAACUGCGGCUUGGACAGAUGAAGAAGGCACUGGGAUCUGACUGGUCAUGAGGCAGAACAGCAGCUGGAAAAGGCUGACUCCAAAAACACAGCCACUGAAGUGAGCAAAGCAAUCCAGAUCUGCCCAGCAGCAGCCAGGUAGAGCAGGUGACACCUGAAGACACUAUUCAUUUCUUCUUUUUUCCAUUAUCCAUUUGUUCAUCAAGCCUUUAGUGAAGAUCAUUCUUUGCCAGGCUCAGUGCAGAGUAAUGGUGGGAAGAGAGAAAGAAGUCUGACUUCUGACCCUGGCCUCAAGCUUACAGGGAAAGAAUAGGAAGUAGUUUAUAAAGAAAUGAGAAACGAACUAGGGGUGGUAGAAGGGGAGGAGGGCGGGGGGUGGGAGUGAAUGGGUGACGGGCACUGGGGGUUAUUCUGUAUGUUAGUAAAUUGAACACCAAUAAAAAAUAAAUUAAAAAAAAAAAAAAAAAGAAA
rnacentral:lncRNA from 1 species